AUUGAACGCUGGCGGCAGGCUUAACACAUGCAAGUCGAGCGGGGAAAGGUAGCUUGCUACCUGACCUAGCGGGGGACGGGUGAGUAAUGCUUAGGAAUCUGCCUAUUAGUGGGGGACAACAUCUCGAAAGGGAUGCUAAUACCGCAUACGUCCUACGGGAGAAAGCAGGGGACCUUCGGGCCUUGCGCUAAUAGAUGAGACUAAGUCGGAGUAGCUAGUUGGUGAGGUAAAGGCCUACCAAGGCGACGAUCUGUAGCGGGUCUGAGAGGAUGAUCCGCCACACUGGAACUGAGACACGGCCCAGACUCCUACGGGAGGCAGCAGUAGGGAAUCUUGGACAAUGGGGGGAAGCCUGAUGCAGCCAUGCCGCGUGUGUGAAGAAGGCCUUUUGGUUGUAAAGCACUUUUAGCGGGGAGGAAGCUACCGAGAUGAAUACGCUUGGAUAGUGAACGUUACUCGCAAAAUAAGCACCGGCUAACUCUGU
rnacentral:rRNA from 1 species